ACCGCUCUCCAAGGACUCUCGAGCAGCUCCAUCUACAGAUUCACAUGGAGAAGAAUUAAGGGUUCCUGCCAAUCACCAGCACCACUUUGCCAGCCUUGUAAGUGGGCCACCUUGGAAUUGGAGCCUCCAGUUCCUACUGACAUCUGACUGCAACAUCAUGAGAGACCCUGAGUUUGAACCACCCAGCUGAGCUGCUUCUGAGCUAACCCACUGAAACCGUGAAAGUACCUGAAUGAAACAACACCCAGUAGCCACUAGCACACCUAGCUCCCAGAUCUGUUUUUGAUGCCAUUCUUCAGUAAAAGGAAGCAAGGCUGCUUGGAGAAAUUGCUAUCAAGGACUGGGGUAGAAAAUAUACAAGAUGAAAUUGGAGCAUCUUGUAGUGCUUGAAAACAGUUGGCAUCUGUGUGAAGAUGUGAAUGGAGGAGGCAGAGUAGGCAGUGAGUGCCGCAGCCACAGCUUGUGUUCUCUGCAGCCCUGGCACAGAAGAUAGGAACACUCAUGGGGGAUGCGGCCACUGUGAUGUCUUCCCACACAAGAAGUGCCAAGUGCUUUUCUCAUGCUUUUCUGGAUUGUCCCAUGGUGGACGAGUCAGCAGGAGUGAGAUGGAGCAGCACAGUAGAGGGGUUCCUUAGAUCCUGGGAUGAGGAGGUGGACCAGCAGAAGGUGGGCUUGUGAAGGCAGCCCGGGGUCCAAAUCCUCCUGGCUCUUCAGCUUAGCGGGUUAGUUAACAUUCAGAAGCCUUCAUCUCCCAUCUGCAAAAUGGGCAUGUCCAACUCAGAAGCUGCCUUGAAGAAAGGGUCUACCCAGCAUGGUGCGUGGAGCCUAAGCAGUCAGUACUUCAGGACUUCACCCGGCCCCUUUCCAAUAACUGCUGCUGUCGCCCUCACAGGAUGUCACCUUCAGCGUCUGAAAGCUGGGUUUGAUGCGUCUGGAAAGGCGUCCCUGACAGGCGUCGUUGCCAGGAGCCCCUAGUGCCACCAGCAGCCAGCAGGGGAGGGCGUCCUCUGCCCGCUCACUUCUGACCCUUCUCUCGUUGCACCCGGAACAUGGUGCAGCUGGGAGCAGCCUGGGCUGCGCGGAAGGCUCAGAUUUGGGGACGGCCCUUGCCAGUGACUGUGAGCUGGGGUGUCUUGGAAACUCCCAGUCUCAGCUUCUCCAUUUAUAAGAUGAGAAUGAUCAUACCAGACUCAGGCAAGGUUGUUUGUGCAUUAGUGAAAUCAGACGUAUUAAAUAAAGUACCACAUUGAUCGUG
ensembl:lncRNA LINC00658 long intergenic non-protein coding RNA 658